UUUAAGUGCAACCAUAAGUUUCAGUGUUCAAUUUUGACCAUACAUCUUAUUUCUAUUUUUUUUUGUAAUUAGUAUUUUUAUUGUUAUGAGAUGAUAAAGCAUGAAUAGUAAUUUAUGCGUGGCUUAUGUUUUUAAUUUUUAAAAAAAAUCAAAUAAGACGGACAGUUAAAGUUGGGUAUGGAAAAUCAUAGCUCUUAGG
rfam:Oryza sativa Japonica Group DNA, chromosome 1, cultivar: Nipponbare, complete sequence.